GAUGAACGCUGGCGGCGUGCUUAACACAUGCAAGUCGAACGGUGAACACGGAGCUUGCUCUGUGGGCUCAGUGCCUAACGUGUGGGUAACACGUGAGCAACCUGCCCCUGACUCUGGGAUACGCGCUGGAAACUGCGUCUAAUACUCGAUAUGUGACGUGACCGCAUGCUCUGCGUUUGGAAAGUUUUUUCGGUGGGGGAUGGGCUGGCGGCCUAUCAGCUUGUUGGUGAGGUAAUGGCUCCCCAAGGCCUCGACGGGUAACCGGCCUGAGAUGGUGACCGGCCACACUGGGACUGAGACAAGGCCCAGACUCAUACGGGAGGCAGCAGUGGGGAAUAUAGCACAAUGGGCGCAAGCCAGAUGCAGCAACGCCGCGUGGGGGAUGAGGACCUUCGGGUUGUAAACCUCUUUUAGCAGGGAAGAAGCGAAAGUGACGGUACCUGAGUAAGAAGCGCCGGCUAACUACGUG
rnacentral:rRNA from 1 species